UACGAAGGGGGCUAGCGUUGCUCGGAAUCACUGGGCGUAAAGCGCACGUAGGCGGAUCUUUAAGUCAGGGGUGAAAUCCCAAGGCUCAACCUUGGAACUGCCUUUGAUACUGGGGAUCUCGAGUCCGGAAGAGGUUGGUGGAACUGCGAGUGUAGAGGUGAAAUUCGUAGAUAUUCGCAAGAACACCAGUGGCGAAGGCGGCCAACUGGUCCGGUACGUGACG
rnacentral:rRNA from 1 species